rnacentral:lncRNA from 1 species
GUUUUCUCAUGGCAUGCUCAUGCAGUUGAUAAUGAAAUGCCGAGUUUUUUAUAACUAGGUUGUCGGCAGGAAUCCAGCUCAGGUUACGAGUGACCGACAGUUGCUACCAUCUACUGGCUGUUUGCAAUCCUGUGUGAAACAACAGGGCAUUGAGACUCCUUCCUGGUCCUGUCGGCCCACGUUGUGGACAAAUGGCUUCUGUCUGGCUGGCAAUCUGACCAAAAGCUUGUUGGGAUUGGCACCCGACAAGGGGGGUAACAUUUUCACAAGUCCUUUGAGCGGGUCUUUGGCUCCUGUAUUGUGGCACCUUAAACUUAACUCCUUGUAUGUGUGUAACUGAAAUAAGCCAAGAUCUCCACCAACCAUAUGUGGAACUGAUAUAUACAGGACACAGUCAGACACCUGAGGUACGUAAACAUUCAAAUCUACUGCUAUUUGAGAUGCCUUAGGAUCCAGGACCUGACUGUCCUGGAUACUGUAGGUUGCCUCAAAUGUCACUUUGUGCUUUUGUUUAGUCAACGGCAUCCUGGUCCUAAAUUUAUAUGUCUUAGUCUAAGGUUGAGUCAUACCACAAAAGAAUGAUACAGUUACCUUAAACACAAGUUUUCUUCUAUGUUAGAUACCCUAGGGUAACCCUGACAUCUGCAGGUGUAUAACACGUAUUCCACAGGAUUUAUAGAUGUGAGCGCUUUUGGAGUGGCAGCUGGAGAGAUAGAUACCCUCAAGGUCUAAUGUGACACUAUAAACUUAUGUUCAGGUGGCUGAAUUGAGCCUUUAGUAACCAGAAACAGGGUUCUCAGGAGAAGAAGUUAAUAGUGGCUUCAUUAUCUUCAACACUUACUCUCUUUCACUGCCAUUUCUUCCCAUUUCUCCCAUGCUUUAGUCAGUUAAUUCUUUUCUCACCCUUUUUCUGUCAGGGGCUGGAAAAAGGAAGAGAUUUCACCAUGCAAUAAGAAAAUAAGAAUAGUGCUACAUUGUUGGGUACUGCUGGGGUGGCUUCCAAGCAAGCAGGUUUAGAUGUGCAUACUCCCCAUGUUCCAGGCAGA